CAGUGAGGAGGGGGAGAGGAGGAAGAGGAGGAGGAGGAGGAGGAGGAGAGCAGCCCGGGCUCCAUAACACUGUGACAACACAAUGAAAGAGGAAGAAGAUAACACACACCUCAGAUGAACAUGCCUGUCACUGAAGGAGCUGCCUGGUGCUGACAUGGUGUCCUGCAGAGGGUGAUGAUGGUGCAGACAUCAUCAAAAGGAUGUUGAUUGAUGAUUUCUUUUUUUAAUUGUUACAACAACAACAUUGUUCUCCUCAUUACUCUUUUGACUGCAUAUAUGUACAAACAUCUUUGUUGCAUGAGUUUCAGGUGCUUUUAAUGUCCACCACAUCCCUGUCGAGACAAUGAAAACACUCUCCUGCCUCCAACUAUAUCUUUUUAAAUUCCAGAUGAUAAGUUUUAAGUGUUUACACUUAGAAGCAUUUAACUUGAUUUUAAGAAGAAACUAAGCUGUAUCUGUCACCACGUCCUGGUGGUGUUUAAUCAAAGUGAGUACAGAAUAAAGUUUGGAGGACAUGCUGCCAAAUGCAUUCGGUGGUAGACGGUGCCGCAUACACUCUCAUCUUGUUUUGUAAUUAAUAACCAAAGGAGGCAGGCGCAGCAAGUUUGGCUCUGACGAUGAGGACAAAGUGCAGUGCAAUGUCUGAAAGUAAAACUGACAUAAAGAUGAAGGACAGAUGUCUGUUUUCAAAGAUUCAAUGGUGCUUUGAUAAGUAAAGCAGUUCAGUCUUUAUUCUCCUAUAGGCUUUGUAACACACUCUUAACACAUACUCCUUCAGCCACAAAACAGUUUGAUGUCAUAGAUUAGAAAGAAAGCAACAUGUAAUACUAAAACAAUGUAUAAGAACAAGGUGAAACUUAAGACAGAGAUGUUAAUACAGCACAACAGUGUUGGGAAAUAAGGAUGCUUUUAAUCAAUUCAGACUGCAAAUAAACUGAUUAUUUCACCUAAAACAGAAGCUCAAACCCUUUAUUUAAGAUUAGGUGUGAAUCCGUGUGAAAUAUGUUCGCCUCUUGCCAUACUCUUCUAUUUUGUCUAAUUGUGUAAAUGUGUGAAGCGCUGCGGUCAGACGAGGACCAAGUAGAGCUUCAA